GAAACGUCUUUGAAUUUGGUGACCUCGGGCUGAAAUAAUCCCCUGCCCUCUGUGCCAAAUGCUAAAGGGGCACAGCUCCCCUCAGAUCUCAGUGGGGCAGUCUGGGGGACUUGGAGGGGCCAAGGGAUGACAGACGUGGGACCUGGGGCUCGUGCCCAGGAGCCUUGGCACAGGUCUGCCCACGCCAUGUUAGCACAUCCCGGCUGCAAAGGGCACUCCCGCUCCACGCAGCUACAGAGGCUGCUGUAUUUAAUUGAUUGCAUCGUUCAAACGGGGUCGCCUGGCUUAUGCUAAAGCCUGGAGCGAGGAAUUUAAGGGCCCAGCACUGCCUAGAGCAGGGCAGCUAAUUGCAGGGGGUGACCCCUCAUAAAGCAGUUGUCCUCGCUGGCCCUGGGCGCGUUACUCUGCGUCCCUCACUGCAGCCCUGCUGAGCCGAACAAGAGGAGGCAGCACCCACCUGGCCAUGCCUUGGGCUGUCCCUCCCGGUGGGGACACUGCCCUGCAGACGCCGCUGGGCUCUGUGGAGCCCUGGGGGUGAAAUGCUGUGCUAGGGCAGGCGCGGGGCAGGUGUUGGGGAGCCCAGCCAGAGUUUUAGAGCAGAUCUGACCCCUCAGUUCAGGGAGCCAGAGGGACAGCUGGGAUGUACCAGGCACUGCCCCUGACGCAGGGUGACAGUGGGAGCCUGAGGCUUGGGACUGGGCAGGAUGAGGCCUUGGAAGUCUUUUUAAUUCCUAGUCUGAGGGUGGGGCUGUGGCUGGAUUUGGACCAGCAGGGACAGGCAGAGCGUGGCCCGUGCUGGGUGGGGAGGUGGGCUGCAGUUCCCCCUCCCAGGCUCUCACCCCUCUGCCAGCUUUGCUCAAUUAUGGGAAAUCCUUUAAGCUUUUGCAUUAGUGCUGUAUGUAGGUCUGCACUGUAUUAGGACUUGGCACAGGAAGCGGAGUCAGAUUUCUCACUUAAUAAAGACCGUUUUAAAGGCAUUUGUUGCCAUGGCCCCGGCACUGCCAGCCCGGUGGCUGGGGCAUGACGGGUGCUGCAGGAGGGGAGGGUGCUGGCGCUGCUGGAGGGCUCCUCACCAGCCACGCCUGGCCCUGGCAGAGCCAGCCCUCUUCCCUGCCUCGCUCCCGUGAGGCUGCUGGGCUGGCAGGAGGCCGGUCCUGCUGGCAAUAAAUGUUUCAUCAGGAUGCGAGCAGGGAUAACGAGUCACGGACGCCCACCGCCAGCCAGCCUGGUCCUGGCACAGGGCUGCAGGGCAGGAGCAGAGAGAGUAGGGAUGCUCCAGCCCACGCUGCUGCCCUCCUUCCCUGCCCCUCCCAGCCUCUGCGCUGGAGCUAUCAGGCAGGGGUUGUCCUGUUUGCGGCAUUACUGACCUAUGUCUUUCCCAGGACACAAAACGAGGGAGCAUCCUUCCUGCCUGGUCCUGCUGUGAGGUUUCUGGCAGUGCUGACCUGGGGCUGGGGUGGCAGCACGGGGACACAGCGGUACCCCAGUGUCCCCGCCCGCAGGUGCCUGGAACCGCCACAGCUCUGCCUGCUGCUGAUGAACAGCUGGGCAAGGAUGGGACCGUGUGUGUCCCCUGGCCUGCAAGUGGCUGGGCCAGCUGGGGUGCGCUGGCAGGAGCGGGAGAAUCCUCCAGACUCCCAUUUUGGGUAUGCACACGGCUGUGGUUUUCACGAAGAAGUCAGGAGACAAAUUGUGGCUGUCGUUUGAGCAACGUCCCCUGGGCGAGCCUGGCACAAGUGUGUGCUUCCCAUCCAGCCCUGCAGCACCAAGCAAGGAAAUCCAAGGUGAGACGGAUCCUCGCAGAUCCAGUGCUCGUGGCACCUGUGUCUGGACCAGCCCCAGCACAUUCUCUCCCCAAACUUCCCCAAACUCCAAGGGGAUGGAACUAACCUAUGGGGCAUGCAGGGACAAAUUCCCUUCACCCCAUCCCAGAGACCAUCAGCAUCAGCUGGGCUGCACAAGCCGGGCCACAAGGCGUCAGCAGAUACUGAAACAGAACUUAAAAGGCUGCUAAUUGCCUUUUAUCCACCUCUAAUCCUUAACUGAGCUGCUGCCGCUCUUCUUGGUGCGAUGUCCAUUCCUAUUCAUUGUAAAGCACUGGAUAAUGGAGGAUAAUUUUCUUUCUAGGCAACAUGCAAGAAUUUGUGUCAAGCAGGCAUAAUAUGCAAAGAGCUCAUGUUUAAAUGAUCAGAACAUAGUGGUGGUGCAAGGGCCGGUGAGGCAGCUGGCUGCACUGAAGGCCGGGAGGGAGUGCUGGCCCUGCCGGAGCCACGCUCACUUUCAUCAGCCCGCGGUUUGAUCCUCUCCAGACUGAGCGAAUUAGGAAAUUCUUUGAAACGUCGAAGCGCUGCUCUGCAAAACUGGAAGAGCCAGCAGCCCUUCACUGCUGAGGGCAGGGAGACAGCUGGGGUUUGGAUUGCUAGCUUUUGUCCACAAAAUGAACUCAAGCAAGUUCAUAAACUGCAGAACAGAACACUAACGGCUGCGGGCAACUACUGCAGAGACCUGGUGAGUCCUCAGCAGCGCGGAGAGCCCCAUUCAGCCUGCUGACGGCCCCUGCUGCUCCUGUUCCUGACUGGCAAAUAUUAGCUCUGUUUUUCAAGUCAAGAAAGUAACUGCUUUGCAACCCUGUCCAAUUUGAAUGCUCCAGUGAGGCCUCAAGGAGUUUCCCCAUCCAAGUGCUUCAAGUCCUCGGCUCCUGCGCCGGGCUCCCGGAGCAGUGGGGCUCUGAGUUGUGCUGCUCCAGCUCCCCUGGUGCCGGACGCCACGUGUUCUCCAGGCCGUAGCUUUCGGGGGUGCCACGGAGCUUCUCGCCGUCACCUGGAUUGCCUCCAAGCAGCCAGGUGCUGUUUCCAGGGGAGCUGACAGGUUCUGGCAAGGAGGAGGCGCAGCUCGGCGCCAUCGUCCUCCCUUGCCAGGAAAGCUGAUAAAGUGUCUCCUAAUGAGAUUGCUGUGUUCUCGCUUCGCAGACAGCUUUGUUAGCUUUCACAAAUGCAGUCUGGGGAGAAUCUCUGGCUGUCUGGACACUACUCACAGCUCUGCCAUUACACUUGUCUGGGAAGUCUUUUCCUCUGGCCUCAGGUUGAUCUUCUGCAGAAGCAUCUCGGCCCGGUACCUGCCUCCUCCCUCCAGCGACAGCUGCAUGCAGCGCGGUGACCUGGGGACACGCACACGAGUUCUCCUCCAGCUUUGCCGUGUGUGCGCACCCUCAGCUGCCACAGGAAAAAAGUGAUGGGUGUGAAGGAGAGUGCACAGGGAUGGGGCACGCUGCACAGCUUUCCUCAGACCUAGAGCCAGCCCUGGCCACAUCUCCCACCCGGGGCUGCACAGAGAUCUUAAGAGCCUUGGUCAGCGUGCGCUGCACAGGAGCACAGCCUUGCACCCAGCACGUGUUAACGGAGUCUGCAUGGAGGAAUCAGCAUCUAGGGGUAGUGCUUGUCACCUUGCUACAAGGAAACUGUCAAGUGCAAUUAUUAUAAAGAAUAUACAAAUGUUUUUGCCAAUGAAGAUCAACAUAAUAUUAACGUUUUUUCACAAAACCCCAUUUGGGUUGAAUUUUACAUUUUAUCUCUCCCUUCAAUGGGAAUAAAGCAGAGAGUUUCACUC